rnacentral:lncRNA from 1 species
UUCGACCCCAGGAGGACCGGCACAAGGCUCGGCUCUUUUGAGUUUACCGCCCCCACGAAGCACACGCAAGGAGCUGAGGUCGUGGCACCAUGUUCGGUUCCCCGGGAACCUCGGCGGGGUGGAGGCAGGCCCGACCCUCCCGGGGGUUCACCCCACCUCGCACGCAGGCUCCUGAGGUUCUCCACACGCACCUGGAGCUGGCAAGGGCCCGCCAGCGGCGCAUCUCAAAGCCAGGGGCUCGCGAAGACAGCAAGCAGCUCGUCCGCGGGGUCGGCUCGGCGGCGGGCUCAGUGCGCAGGCGCGGCGCUCCGGAGCGCUCCGAAUGCGGUCCUGCCGGAAACAGCCUCUCGCGAUCUCUGGGCCCGCGCUCGCUUCUUAGAGGACCCCCGGGUCCUAGCGCGUCGUUUCCCCGUACUGCUAUUUCCAAGUAAAGAAAACAGAAGACGCCAAAAGGGUACACUUCCCAUUGUUGCCAACCCAUCAUUAUGGAAAUCCCAGACAGGACUGACUAUCUACAUGCUUCUGCAGGUGACAGAUGGCUGUGGGAGGGAUCCCACAUUGAAGCAUGACAAGUGUGACAUACAUGACUGCACAGAUGCUUCAGAUUCCUCCCAAAGGCUACUUUACACAGUGAGUUCCAAGUGUGCCAAUGAAUGCGUGCCAAUGAAGUACUGUAUGUUUGAUAAAGAUAAACAGCUAUUUCAAUAUGCUCAGAAAAACUCCUCAGAAACUCUGCAUUUGAAGUGUUAUAAAGAUAUGAACAGUUUUGCUGAAGUGCCAGUGUGAGGUUAAAGAGACGGAGCCACACAAGGAGAUGAUGCCUCAAAGCUGUUGGAAACAAGGAUGGGAAGCAAAUUGGAUGAUGUAGUUCAAUGCUUGGUGGACAGUUCUCACAAGGGUCAUCAGAGCUCAAGCAUCCACCAUACGGGCAGAGUGCAGUUAUGUAGGUUGCCUUGGGGCUGGUCAUCAAUCAUGUAUGUAGGAACUGGAUCCCAGGCACAAAGGUAGAGGACACAGCACGCAUGAGUGGACACCAGAAAGCAAACUUGAAGACAUCAAGAUGGAUUCCAGAUUAAGUUUUAACUUUGGAACAAUUCAUUUUUUUUUUCUGGAUUUCUCAGUGCUGAUCAGGUCCAUAUGAGAAUGCAUAGAAAUGCAUAGAAAAAUAGUUGUAGAGUCAACCGAUAGUGCAGAUUCCAAUCUGUGUGAUAUUUGUUGAAGAAGAGUACAGGACCUCUUGAUUUUUGAGGGUAAGAGGAGCAAUGGGAGCUAUAGAGAUGGCUGAGCUUUUAAGAGCACUGGAUGUACUUGCAGAGGACCCAGGCUCAGUUCUGAGCAACCAUAUGGUACCUCACAACUGUCUGUAACUCCAGUUCAAUCCACUUUUUAGGUUAGAAAUUCGCUUAUAAUAUUUCAGUCUCAAUUUAAUUGUAAGUAUAUUAUUUUGUUAUUUGUAAACAUUUACUCAAAAAGUACAAUUCCUUAUUUCCUAUAAUAAAUAUUUAGUAUUUGAUAGGAAAGCCA